rnacentral:rRNA from 1 species
AACUAACGCUGGCGGCGUGCCUAACACAUGCAAGUCGUACGAGAAAGCCGGCUUCGGCUGGUGAGUAAAGUGGCGCACGGGUGAGUAACGCGUGGAUAAUCUGCCCUUAAGUGUGGAAUAACGUACCGAAAGGUGCGCUAAUACCGCAUAAUGCCUGGCAACACAAGUUGUCCGGCCAAAGAAGGCCUCUGUUUACAAGCUUUCGCUUCAGGAUGAGUCCGCGUACCAUUAGCUUGUUGGUGGGGUAAUGGCCUACCAAGGCUGCGAUGGUUAGCUGGUCUGAGAGGAUGAUCAGCCACACUGGAACUGAGACACGGUCCAGACUCCUACGGGAGGCAGCAGUGAGGAAUAUUGCGCAAUGGGGCGAACCCUGACGCAGCAACGCCGCGUGAGUGAGGAAGGUUUUCGGACUGUAAAGCUCUGUCGAGCGGGAAGAAGUGUACCAUGGCUAAUAUCCAUGAUAUUUGACCGGUACCGCUAGAGG